UACGUGGGGAGCAAGCGUUGUUCGGAUUUACUGGGCGUAAAGGGCGCGUAGGCGGUCGUGACAAGUCACUUGUGAAAUCUCCGGGCUUAACUCGGAACGGUCAAGUGAUACUGUCGGACUAGAGUACAGAAGGGGCAACUGGAAUUCUCGGUGUAGCGGUGAAAUGCGUAGAUAUCGAGAGGAACACCUGCGGCGAAGGCGGGUUGCUGGGCUGAUACUGACGCUGAGGCGCGAAAGCCAGGGGAGCGAACGGG
rnacentral:rRNA from 1 species